rnacentral:rRNA from 2 species
GGACUACACGGGUUUCUAAUCCUGUUCGCUCCCCACGCUUUCGUCCAUCAGCGUCAGUUGUUGCUUAGUAACCUGCCUUCGCAAUUGGUGUUCUAAGUAAUAUCUAUGCAUUUCACCGCUACACUACUUAUUCCAGCUACUUCAACAACACUCAAGACUUGCAGUAUCAAUGGCAGUUUCACAGUUAAGCUGUGAGAUUUCACCACUGACUUACAAAUCCGCCUACGGACCCUUUAAACCCAAUAAAUCCGGAUAACGCUUGCACCCUCCGUAUUACCGCGGCUGCUGGCAC